rnacentral:rRNA from 1 species
UACGAAGGGGGCUAGCGUUGCUCGGAAUCACUGGGCGUAAAGGGUGCGUAGGCGGGUCUUUAAGUCAGGGGUGAAAUCCCGGAGCUCAACUCCAGAACUGCCUUUGAUACUGAAGAUCUUGAGUCCGGGAGAGGUGAGUGGAACUGCGAGUGUAGAGGUGAAAUUCGUAGAUAUUCGCAAGAACACCAGUGGCGAAGGCGGCUCACUGGCCCGGUACUGACGCUGAGGCACGAAAGCGUGGGGAGCAAACAGG